rnacentral:ncRNA from 1 species
CCGCAGAACCGCCAAACCCAUCGCGAGGUGGGGACGGAAAGCCGACGGGCCCGCACGGAGCGGGCGGCCGGGUUGCCUCG